UGAGGAAUCUUGCGCAAUGGGCGAAAGCCUGACGCAGCGACGCCGCGUGGAGGAUGAAGGUCUUCGGAUUGUAAACUCCUGUCGAGUGGGACGAAUGCCGUGAGGGUGAAUACCCCUUGCGGUUGACGGUACCGCUGGAGGAAGCCCCGGCUAACUCCGUGCCAGCAGCCGCGGUAAUACGGAGGGGGCUAGCGUUGUUCGGAAUCAUUGGGCGUAAAGGGCGCGUAGGCGGCCGAUCAAGUCGGAGGUGAAAUCCCUCGGCUCAACUGAGGAAUUGCCUUCGAUACUGUUCGGCUUGAGUCCUGGAGAGGGUAGCGGAAUUCCCGGUGUAGCGGUGAAAUGCGUAGAGACCGGGAAGAACACCAGUGGCGAAGGCGGCUACCUGGACAGGUACUGACGCUGAAGCGCGAAAGCUAGGGGAGCAAACAGGAUUAGAUACCCUGGUAGUCCUAGCUGUAAACGAUGGGCACUUGGUGUUGCGGGUAUCGACCCCUGCAGUGCCGAAGCUAACGCAUUAAGUGCCCCGCCUGGGGAGUACGGUCGCAAGGCUG
rnacentral:rRNA from 1 species